CCACUUCCGCCUUGUUUUAUAUUUCUGUAAUUUGUUCAAUUUUUCUGUAGUGAUUUAAUCCCGCUUUAUCGGCAAAUAUUGCGGUAGAAUUUCCCUUUCUUUUCUUUAUAUACGUCAAUUUGUAGCUAAGGAUACACCUUUUGUUAGACUCUUUGCAUAAAAGUUGCAAAAUUAGGCUUAUAGCGAUAUUUGCUAAUAAAGG